AGAGAAUGUAUUGAUAUUAAGUUUCUUCUUGCGAUUAUUAAUCGCCAGAAGACACAAAAUUUGAAACGAGCGGAUUUUUUUCUGCAGACAGACAAAUUUCUAAACUGGAACCACUUAUGCUCCCACGCUUCCUAUCCACUCGUUCAGCAAACGAUGACGUGGCAAUGACAAUGUCCUUGAGGGUUACAAAUAAUCUACUUGAGAUUUGUUUUGCAAAGAAAUAAUUAGUUGAAAAGUUGUAGGAUACGAGAAUACAACGAUUUUGCAGUGGUAAUGUAAAAAAAAACGGCGGGAAAUUGUAUUUGAAUUUUUUCAGAAUAUUUGGCACGGUCUGUACUCACUAUCAACUCUAAAUCUGAAGCCAGACAUUUUUGGGAUUCCCCUUUUUUCUCGUUUGCUUUUUUCUUUCGUUAUUUUUUAAAUAUUUUUUUUAUUUUGUAGAAUUUCUCCUAAGUAUUUAAUCUCAUAAAUACUCACCA
ensembl:antisense_RNA anr-52 ncRNA